AUUGAACGCUGGCGGCAGGCCUAACACAUGCAAGUCGAACGGUAACAGGAAACCGCUUGCUGUUUCGCUGCCUAGUGGCGGGCGGGUGAGCAAUGUCUGGAGACUGCCUGAUGGAGGGGGAUAACUACUGGAAACGGUAGCUAAUACCGCAUAACGUCGCAAGACCAAAGGGGGGGACCUUCGGUCCUCUUGCCAUCGGAGGUGCACAGUUGGGAUUAGCUAGUAGGUGGCGUAACGGCUCACCUAAGCGACGAUGCAUAGCCGGUCUCAGAGGCUGACCACACACACUGGCACUGAGACACGGCCCAGACUCCUACGGGAGGAAGCAGUGGGGACUAUUGCACGAUGGAGGAAAGCCUGAUGCAGCAAUGUCGCGUGUAGGAAGAAGGACUACUGGUUGGAAAGUACUUAAGGCGUGGAGGAAGGGAGUAAAGUUAAUACCUUAUCACAUUGACGUUACCCGCAGAAGAAGCACCGGCUAACUCCGUG
rnacentral:rRNA from 1 species